AUGUCCUUCAACGUCUGAAUAGUUUUCUCUGAUUGCCCAUUAGUUUGAGGAUGAUAGGCGGUGGUGUAGAGUAAUUUUGAUCCUAGAGUUUCUUGAAAAGUUAUCCAAAAUUUUGAAGUAAAUCUGGGAUCCCGAUCAGAAAUGAUACUAAUUGGAACACCAUGAUACUUGACGAUUUCAAAGAUGAAAAGUUUGGCUAACCGACUUAGCGAGUAAUUCUCAUGAACAGGUAGGAAAUGCGCUAACUUGGUAAGUCGAUAUACAAUCACCCAUAUACCGUCAUAGCCAUUACGUGUACGAGGCAGCUCGUACACAAAAUUCAUUGUGAUAUCUUCCAAUUUUCACUAGGGUAUCAGAAGUGGCUGUAGCAACCCAAAUGGUUUCUUUCUUUCUGGCUUGACCUGUUGACAGACUAAACAGUGACUCAUGUACUCAACUAUUUCUCUCUUCAUUCCUAGCCAUAGUAGAAAGGUCAGAUAGUAUGGUACAUUUUAGUACUUUCGGGAUGCAUCGCAUAAGCUGAAAUAUGCGCAUCAUCGAGUAUUUCUUUCUUCAGUUUUUCCUCCUUAGGUACAAACAUCUGAUCGCCUUGCAUGAGCAUACCAUCAUGCAUUUGAAUCCUUAAAUCAUUUAAUACUGCUUGCCUUAACUCCUGAGAUUCGGAGUCAUUCAUCUGAGCUUCUAGAACAUGAUCCAACAAAACUGGCCUAACUUGAAAGUUGGUAAGCAGAGCUCCCUGCUAAUCCGUUCCCAAAACCGUUCCAGUAGAUCUUAGGUCUGUCAGAAGAGGAACACGACAUGCAUAAAGAGCAUUAAGUCGGCCAUGAGAUUUCCUAGUGGGAACAUUUGCUCCAGUAUUCACAUGGCCAAGGUGAUACUCGAUAGUGCAGUCAUAAUCACUUAUCAACUUCAUACAUCUGCACUGCAGAAGAUUAAGUUCUUUCUAAGUAAAGAUAUAGUUGAGGCUCUUAUGGUUAGUGAAGAUCUGACAUGUUUCCUUAUAAAGAUAGUGCCACCAAAUUUUCAAAGCAAAAACAAUAGUUGUCAAUUCAAGAUCAUAAGUAGGAUAGUUCAUCUCAUGGGGCUUUAACUGUCACGAAGCAUACACAAUCACUUUUCCAUGCUGCAUCAGCACACAACCCAGGCCAUUCAGAGAGGCAUCACUGUAGAUCUCGAAAUUCCCACUGUCAUCGGGAAGUGCCAAAACAUGCGCAUGAGUGAGACAAUAUUUCAACUAUUGGAAACUUCGUUCACAAUCAUCACUCCAUUCAAAAUUAACUCAUUUCCUGAUCAACCUUGUUAGAGGUAGGGCUAUGGCUAAAAAGUCUUUCAUAAAACGUCAAUAGUAGCCCGCAAAACCAAGAAAACUCCGAACUUCAGUGACAUUUUGAGGUUGCUCCCAAUUUUCCACUGCUGCUAUUUUCUUCGGAUCCACGAGAACACCUUGAGCUGAUAUCACGUGUCCUAAGAAAGACACCUGAUCCAACCAAAACUAGUACUUACUGAACUUAACAUACAUUUGAUUCUCCCUUAGCUUCUUCAAAACCAGAUGUAGAUGUCUAACAUGGUCAGCCUCGCUUUUAGAAUACACCAAAAUAUCAUCGAUGAAGACAAUUACGAACCUAUCAAGGUACGGACGAAAUACCCGAUUCAUCAAGUCCAUAAAAGCUGCGGGAGCAUUAGUUAACCCGAAUGGCAUCACAAGAAACUCAUAAUGACCAUAUUGAGUUCGGAAUGCUAUUUUCGGAACAUCAUCACUUCUAAUCUUCAAUUGAUAAUAGCCAGACCUUAGAUCGAUUUUUGAGAAAAAUGCAAGCACCACGAAGCUGGUGUAAAAGAUCAUCGAUACGAGGUAAUGGAUAAUGGUUUUUAAUCAUCACCCGAUUUAGCUGUCUGCAAUCGAUCUGAAAGUUUCAUCUUUCUUCCUUAAAAACAAGAGUGGAGCUUCCCAAGGGGAAAUGCUCGGCUGAAUAAACCUUUUUUCAACAAGUUCUUGCAAUUGAGUUUUUAAUUCCCUUCACUCUGUAGGAGCCAUAUGAUAAGGAAUUAAAGAAAUAGGAUCGGUACCUAGAAUUAGGUCGAUAGUGAACUCUAUUUCACGUUUUGGUGGUAGACCAGGUAAGUCAUCGGGAAAAACAUCCCGAAAGUGUCUGACUACUUGAAGGUCUUCUACACCAGCAAGAGUCUCCUCAAUCAUUAUUAUAUGAGCUAAUUAGCCUUGACAACCUUUCCUUAACAUCCGCUUAGCCCUCAGGGUAGAGAUAAUUCCAUACUUUAGACCGUUAUGUUCGCCGAUAAAAGUUACCAUUGGCAUGCCCAGUCGAUGGAAGGUAACAAUUUUCUGAUGGCAAUUCAACAUGGCACGAUUUUAAUCUAACCAAUCCAUGCCCAAGAUAAUGUCAAAGUCAACGAUAUCCAAAGGAAUAAGAUUGGCUGGUAUUACCACAUCCUCGAUAAGAACGGGACAUCCUCGAUACUCCCAACUAACAUAACAAACUUCACCCUUAGGCAUCGAAAACUCCAACUCGUAAAUUAGGGGAGUAGGGAUAAGGUUGAGUCUUUUGAGCAAAUGUAUGGGAAAUAACAGAAUGGGUAGCACCCGAGAAAAUUAAUAUUCUAGCAAAAUGGCCAAGAACAUUCAACGUACCCAUAAUCAAGUCGGGGUUACCCUGAGCAUCUUGCAAGGUGAUGUGGUUGACUUAACCCUAUGC
rnacentral:lncRNA from 1 species